rnacentral:lncRNA from 1 species
CUUUAGCCUGUUUGAUGGAUUGCACCUUCCUGUGAGGUAAUCCAGUUAGAGUAAGAUCCAGCUGGCUCAAAUCUUUCCCUACUAAUUAAUUCAGUUAAUACAUAAAACAAUUAAGGAACUUGGAGGCUUCCAGGAAAAGUGAGCUUUAUCAUCAAGUAGAAGUUACAAGAACUCACCAAUAUAACUGAAGGCCUGUCCCUUCAAGAAAAUACUUAUGAUCUCAGAGGAAAAGCUCUAAGAUUAUAACAGGAGGAAGGACUGACUUCAAAAGGAUUUUGUACAGAGCUGGGUAAUACUGUGGCUACUCUACCAAAUGAAUAAGCUGUUCAAGCCUGCCACAAGAGCUGUAAGAGACUGGCCCUAGAUAUCCAUCAGCAUCAGCACCACAGGUAGGCUGACUGCCCUUUCCCUGCCU